UCUUUAAACAUCGCUAGUUGUAGUAUAAUUUCGGACAAACUGGUGAAAUCACUUACUGUGGCACUCUGUUUGUCGCUAUUAACAAUUUUUCUAUUUCAUGCUUUUUAUAUCUCAUAAAAAUGUAUUUGGCAGGUUCUAGUAAUGCGCAUUCAAUUUGUAGUAUUCUUAAAUAAUCAUUAAACGACAAGGGCCUUCCGUGCUAUAGUGUUAUGCUUUGCCGUAAUUUAAAAAUGUUCAAUUUAACUACAUUACCAGUUGCGAAGUAAACAUCUAUAUUAGGUGCUCAACUAAAACUCAUGAUUAAAUACCUGCACUGUUUGAAGCGUCUUUAUAGGAAGUUUAUCUACUAUUUGACCUAUAAGCACUCUCUUCAUACAAACAGAGAAUAUCUCCACUUGGUUCUGAAGUAAAUUUAGAUUUCACAUUUAAAUUAUCCACGCAAGUUGGUUUCAUUAUACUCAAGUGUGUUAAACGUGAAUCAGGGUUAUAUGUAUGGCUAUGUUCUUAGCUUCAGCAUCAAUAAAAUCCCUGGAUAUUGCUGCUGAUAAUAUCAAUUUAGAAUUGUCUAACAAAAGUACAAUUAUUGAUUUAAACUCUCACCUUUGAACAAUCAAGUAGACUUGGUAAAAAGGUACUGACAAGUGCUACCUAUCAUAAUGGAAAAGAUAUACUAAUUAGUGUAAAACAAUUAAAGGUUAUCAAGCGUUGUUCAUAUAAUUGAUCGUGGC